rnacentral:misc_RNA from 1 species
GUAGGUGAACCUGCGGAAGGAUCAUUAACACGUAUCCAACGUUAAAAACCCCCCCGUGAACCUACAACAUACGUCUCCGCUAACGAUACCCAUGGUUGCAAUCCCUGGUAAAUCAUUAGGGACAUCAAGCACGUUAGUGUCCUGAUAAAAGAGGCGCUGCAGCGAGUGCAAGUGAGGGAGUCAGUCAGGGGGUUGUUAAAGUGUUCAACCUGAUUGUCAUCUUGUAAGUUGAGAGUGUCUUUCGAUUUUGAACGGGUAGACCACCCCAGGUGGGUCACUGUGGCCGACACGGCCGUGAUGAAAUUCUGGCGUAGGUACGAACUAGCGCCCGACAUGACCUCUUGAAACGACAGGGGCGUAACCGGACCAAAUUUUUAAUCUGCCCCUUACCCUAACAGGUACUCGGGUGUCAAACGAACAACUGUUAACAAUGGAUAUCUUGGUUCUC